GCUGUGCUGUCAAGCCGGGAGCCGUCCUCCGCUGUCAAGAUGGCCGUUUCGACGCCUUCAGGGCUAGUGACUCCCUGGGCGGCCUUGUUUGCAGCACCUCCCUGCUCUCUCUGAGAAGAAAUUCUUCCUGAUAUCCAACCUGAACUUUCUCUGGUUUUGUGCAGCUAUGGAACAACAGCUGCUGUCCAGGAGUUACCAUUGUUUAAAGAAGAAACAACAGCAGAGGAGACUGAACAACACACUUCUGUUUGUAUCCUGACUUCUGACCUGGACAAAUGGUAGUUCUCAGAUGAAUUCAUCCCCUUAAAACUGCAAUAUGAAAGAGCUCAUUUCUCCAGCCAGGAAGACAAGAUGUGUAAUAUUUUCUGUGUUAUGAAAACAUAGCAUCUACUAAAAGUUUGUAAAAAUUGAAGUACUCAUUUUUUAUCUGCUCUGCAGUCCCCUGAGAGAUCUGAAAGCAAUAAAUGAAGACUGUCAGUACCUCAAGAGGAUAAUGAGAAGUUUUAUUACCCAGGAAAGAAAAGUUUAUAUUGAAGCUCAGUGGUUACCAAUUCCAUGCAUGAGAAGAUAGAGCCUGUCUUAAAAAAUGACCAAUUUUUUUUUUUUCUGAUGGUGGGAAUUAUUCCUCAGAUACUACAACAAAUGGGCGUAAAGAGAGCAAUUGGAAAACACUUACAAACUGCUCGUGGCCUAUUUUUCUGUCCUCACUCCACUUGUUGUGGUUGGUUCAAUAAAAGAUGCCUUGAAUGCGCAGGGCCAAAGCUCUGUGGUAUGCUGUUGAGGUAUACUACCCUCCGAAGUUCAGACAACAGCUACUGCUGCAGUUGGUGCAUGCAGCACCUCUGCUAGCACUGCAGCAUCAGGUAGCCAGCUUCCAGAUAGAGGACUCCCUCCCUGCUGGAGUAACAGGAAAAGCCUGAGGACUCCAUUUCUGAAUCACAUAGAUGCAAACGUAGUAUCGGAUAAAGCAAACACAG